rnacentral:rRNA from 1 species
CCUAUGGGUGGCAGCAGUGAGGGAUAUUGGUCAAUGGGGGAAACCCUGAACCAGCAACGCCGCGUGAGGGAAGACGGUUUUCGGAUUGUAAACCUCUGUCCUCUGUGAAGAUAAUGACGGUAGCAGAGGAGGAAGCUCCGGCUAACUACGUGCCAGCAGCCGCGGUAAUACGUAGGGAGCGAGCGUUGUCCGGAUUUACUGGGUGUAAAGGGUGCGUAGGCGGCCCUGCAAGUCAGAAGUGAAAUCCAUGGGCUUAACCCGUGAACUGCUUUUGAAACUGCAGGACUUGAGUGGAGUAGAGGUAGGCGGAAUUCCCGGUGUAGCGGUGAAAUGCGUAGAGAUCGGGAGGAACACCAGUGGCGAAGGCGGCCUACUGGGCUUUAACUGACGCUGAAGCACGAAAGCGUGGGUAGCAAACAGGAUUAGAUACCCCAGUAGUC